UUAAGCUAGAUUUGCUCUAUAGAAACUUUUCUGGCUUUAUUGAGUUUAGACUGAUGAUGUACAUGGUCUACUGUCCUUAGAAGGGACGUAAAUAGGACAACAUAUAAACCUUGACAACUGUGAACUUUGUUUUUAGGCUAUAAAUUUGAUGGGAGUAAGGAAGGUAUACUAAUCUUUUUGUUCUGCAUGAAACGUUUAGUGUAUGGGAUUAUGGCCCAUGUGUAGGGUUGCUAUGGAUGACAGUACUAAUAAUUUACUUCUUUAUUUUAAGAUUGCUUUUAUAUAAACCUAUUUAUAGCAUGGAACUCCUCACAUUGCUAUGGUGUUAACAACUGCAAGGCUAAAAGCACAAAUGUUUGAACUGAGAUACCUGUUGCUCAGCCACUGAAAUACCAUUGUCUGAUACUAACAUUACUUUGCAGAUAAGGGCCCUCUCUCAAUAGAGCCUUGUGCAAAUGGUGGUUUCAGAAGCAGAGACAGAUGCCCUGUUGGAGUUGCUGAGAUGGUGAUAUCUUUUACUGAGGGAUCAGAGGAUGAGGGCCACAUUGCAGCACCUCUUGGAAUGACCUAAGGGAAGAAUGGCACACUCACACUGAGGAAAAUGGAGUACAUGUAACUUGCCCAUAUUAUACCCUGAAGAGCUGUAGAAACACCCAUACAGCAUUUGAGUCAUUACCAAGAAAACCUUUUUAACAGCCUGUCCUCACCUGAGGAACUUUGUGCUCCACUUCAUACAGAGUGCUUGGCUUUAAGUCUCCUUGCAGAAGAAUAAUGGCUAUUAGGUAACAAGGUCUAACAGAAAAACACCACCCAGACAUGGGAAACCAGUAUGCCUGAAUCUGGUCCAAGCUGAUAAUGACCAAAGUGAUUAUUCGAUGAAAAGGGAGCCUGGGAACUGAAGGGGACAGGAAGGACCUGGAAGCCACAAAGCAGUUCUCUGCAAGACUGAGAAAGCAUUUAAGGAAGAAAACUGAUGGAUGCUCCACUUUGGUGUCUGUAGGUUCCUACCUCUGGAAAUGAGCAGGAGGAGUGGAAUGGAAUGCAACAGGAUGCUGCAGGACUCACUUUGGCUUUCCCAGAAAAGUUUUUAAGAUGGAAAAUCUAAAGUUGUAAGAUGGCUGCUUACUUCCCACUGCUCUCUCAUGGAAAAAUGCCAAACUAGAGUGCUUCAUAUGCUCCUUUUUUUUUGUGAAGGGUUUUGUGAGGUUGGGUUUUGUCAACUAUAAAUAAUAGAAUUCCACAAAAAAUAUAAGAUUCCUGUUGAAUUCCACCCUCUCUGAGAAUUAAAUUUAACUAUUGCCAAACAUAGAUGGGAUUUGGCUUUUAUUUGCUGUCUUGGUACUUGCAUAUUUGAGGUAAGCCAGAUGAAAUUAGCAAAGCUUAACAUGUCAAUUUCCAAGCUCAUUAAGUUACCAGAUGUAAAAUUUUCAGAAGUGUAUUAAGUCAGGUGCAGAAAACUGUUCCAUCCUUUUGUUGUUCUUGAACAUAACAAAGUUUGUUUUCCAUCAGCACCUAAGUAGAAGAUUUUAUUGGACUUGUAGGCUUCUGCUGAUACCCAAGAUAGGACACGAAGCACCUAAAUUAGUUUAAUUAAUCCUCUGUUAGUUAUGUGAAAUUCCAUCAUGAUCAUGAAUCUGCAGUGUUUCAGAUGACUAUGGAGAUUCUACAAAGACUGAAAAUAUUGUUGGAAAUAUGAAGCCAGCCCAGGGGGUAUAGGGUGUGUGAGAGCUUCCAAAUGACAAUUACUGUCACUGUACUGCAGAAUUCUCUAAAUUACUGUUUAAAUCACUUAUAUAGCUGUGCCUUUAAGUUAGAAACAUAUUUAAUUUCAGCUCUUAUUAACCUUCUAUCCAAAUAGAAACUAUUUCCAAACA